AAUUUUUCCGGGACCUCCCCCGAAGAAUGGGUUCCCAAGACCUAUUGGCUUGCUGGUAGUUGUUGCGAACGAGCCACCUGGACGAUUGGAGAAAUUUCAGAUCUAAAUUCUAGAUGAAGGGUAUGCUCAACUUGGGUUAACUGAGCGUCUUUCUAUAAUUACCGCUGGUAGGAGAAGACACUUUUCCAGUCAAAAACGGAUUCCAUUCGUACGUUCCAGUCCCUCCGGGAAUUUUAUUCGCGGUAUCAGGUUUGCCAUAGGAUGUUGGACCGACACCAGGUGGACAACUACCGUAAGUGCAACCAGGUCCACUACUUCCAG